rnacentral:lncRNA from 1 species
UCUGUAAUUCUGGGCCGUGUUCCGGAAGCCUCGUAAGACAAAAGCGAACGAGAGGCGGAAAAAAGGAAGACGCUUCCUGAAGUUGGGGAUGCUGGACUAGUUUUCAUACUAGAUCCCCUCGUGGCAGCAUUAAGGAACUUCACAUUCUUCUCACACUAUUCAUGGAAAGUUCCUGGAACUCCCACAGCAGCAAGAAAACUUCGCUUGUAGGAGUCCUUAGCACAUCUGUAAAGUUUUAUUGGCCAAAAUGUGAUACAUCUCCAUUUCUGGAUCAGUCACUGUGGUCAAGUGCAAGACGCUCUACAGGACUCAACCUGGGGAUGAGGUCUGUCUACUCCAUCCAUAUGGUCACUUUAUACUGAGGUUGGGGUUGCUGCUUUUUAAGAGAUGAAAAGAUCCAAGGUGUGACACAGAAUGGAUGACUGGAGUGGAAAAAAUGAAAAUGUCAUUGGAAUAUGGAAGUAAAGAAACUGAGAAGCUGAGAGUUUUUGCAUCAUCCAGUCAGGUAUGGAAAUCACCAAGGAUAAAGGAAGGAACUGGGUUAGAAUGGAAGACCUUUUGCCAGGAAUGGAAGACUUCAGUAAAUGAAGAGAUUUGACUAGGAUGUUGGCAGAAGAUAGUGAGAAGGUCUAAGAAAGGGUGGUAUAUCCAGAUGACAUAAACAUCAAAAGAACGGUGAUUUUUGCAGGAGGGAAGGGGUGAAAUAAUUUGAAAGUAGCAAUGGGAGAGAGCAAGGAAUGCACCUACCUCCAAUCCUGGCCCUGACAUUCUCUCAGGGACCAGAUAGGUUUCAACUAAGGUAAGGCAAGGAGAUGAUGGGAAAAUGAGGGAAAGGGGACUGGACUGCUGAACACAGAUGAGAGUCACAUGAAACACUAGAAGGGUUUAUUUAGGGAGGGGGAGAAGUGGAGAGAAUAACAGUUUGUGGAUUAUGAUUUUAUGAGAAAAAGAAGGACUUAGAGAGGCUGGAACUUCUGCAGAUUAGUGAGCUACACAGGGAUGUGAAGCAUGAUUGGCUUGAACCUGGUAGUCUCAUCUUGUCAUCCUCUUAGUGGUGUGUGCAGCCUAAGGCAUUAAAUUAUGGUGCAGCCUCUGGGCUAAUAGUUACUCUCUCAACAGUGGAGAGUUCUACAUAAUUUGCCAUAAUUAGAUACAUUACCUUAGAGAAAGUGCUAAACCCUUCAAAAUCCCAGUUGCUUAAUCUAUGCAAUGAGGAACUGAUCUAAAUUUCCUAAACUUCUUUAGACAUGUUAAGGAUCUGACAUUGAAAAAGUGAGGUUAUGCCACUGGUAAGUUUGCAGUAUUAAAAAUAAAUAUUCAUCUUUCAAAUCAAUGUAUCAGGAGCUAAUAUUAGGAAGAAAGAGAACUAUCUGAGUGUUUAUGCAUCUGCUGCAUUUGACUUCAAACUGUGUUAAUGAUCUCAACAAAAUAGGUAAGUGAAAGAACAAUUCAGCAUAUUUUAGAGACAUUUGGUUAUGCCUUCCUGCUAAAGCAAAUACAUUUUGUAACUCAUAAAUAUGAAUUAAUUUAUGACCUCUCAAACGCUAAAUAGUAAAGUUGAAAUUGAAUUGCCAACCUUAUCUCGCACCUUCCUUCUAUUCUGUUGGACCCCUAUCCAACUGAUGUAUCAGUUCAGUCAAUGCUGUAACCACACUAAUAGCCUGCUGCACAAAACUGCCUAUUUCAAUCCAAAUAGUGGAACAACUUUGGGCUGAAUCCAACAAUGAAUCCUGCUCUCUGGGGAGCUUUUCUUUAGGUCUUCUUAUUUCUCUGAGUUCUGUGUCUUGGCAGGUGUUUUGUUGAAUGGUUUAGAUUCUUCAGGGAGAGAGGUAACUGAGGGAAAAAGCAGGAAAGGCUGAGCUUGAUUAGGAAAGGAUAUUGUAUAAAAUCAAAGGGGGAUAAUUUAGACAUUACAUCGGUAUAUAUUCACUCAUUUGCAAAAAAAAAAAAAAUUAUAUAUGGGAGGUAAAAGCCUGAUACAGGUGAAUUAAUUUCACUAAGCAAAGAGUCAAAAAUUGGAAUAUUUCAGCAGUUGAAAAAUAUAUUUGCACAUAUAUGAAAGGAGUUCUGAAGUUUCUUUAUCUUAUGACAGUGAAUGUAAUUUUGCAUUUUUGUAUUUGAGAAAUACGGCUUGUUAGCUUAUUUCAUCCUAGAUAUUGUACCUGUAGUUUGGGUAAUUAGCCACUAGAUGGCAGGGCCGUGAUGUGAAUAAAGGUUACAAAACAAUACAUGGGUAUUCUGUACUCUUAGAUAAUUUAAAAAGCCAACACGUGGAAUUCCUCCCAACACAGUUUAAAAGUAGAAGAUGAGCACAUAUUAUGUAUUAGGAUAUUUGCAAGCACUGGAGAUGCAAAUUACAUGAUCUCUGUCACCAAAGAGAUGCUAGUUUUAUAGCCAAAAAUAUGUAUGCUAUAUUUGUGUUUCUUAAAGCACUAUAAUUAAAUGUGAUAAAUGUUAUUAUAGAUUUAUUUAUUUCAAAGUAUAAUGGGAACAUAGGGACUGUUAUAAUGAAUUUAGACUGCAACUUAUCUUUAAUUGUGGAUAAAGUGGCAAUAUAAAAUUACAGAAACAUUUUCAAAAAACUAAAAUUAACUCUAAUUUUUUACUUCAUAUCCAGUGUUUCUCAAUCGGGAAAGAAUUUGCCUCCCAGAGGACAUUUGGCAAUGUCUGGAGCUACUUCUGUUUGUCACAAUUAGGGUAAGGGUGCCACUGGCAUCUAGUAGGGGGAGGUCUGGGAUGCUGCUAAACAGCCUACAAUGCACAAGACAUGCUUCCACUAUUAAAAAAAAAUUAUCUGGCCCAAAAUGUCAUAGUGCCAGGAUAUUAUAAAUAUAGGCAAAGGUGUUCAGAGGUUUAAAACUGAACAAGAGGACAUCAGUAAAAGUUCAGUGUUGCAGAAUGGGUUAAGAUUGGAACAUGAAAACAAAAGUUUUUGUCCCAAGAUCAGGAGCAGAUGAGGUCUAGUGGUUGGAAAGCAAGACUGGAAAUGACACCUUGGACUAAGGAUAUUUGGGCAAGCCCACAUAACAGCAUUUGAAUAUGCAACAGUUAGAGCUGGGACAAUGAAAGCUUGAUUUUGGUCUUGGCAAAUAAGGGCUAGAGAGUGUGGAGCUGUGGCCAGAGUCAAUUCUGUGGGGACAAGUAGAAAAGGGUUUGGAUCUUAGCUUGUGCCUAUACUAGCUGAGCAACUCAUUUUACCUUGUAGGGUUUCCUUCCUUUAAGGUGGGAAAACUUGUUAAAAGGAUUAGAAAUGUAUGUUAAAUACCCAGGACAUAAAUGCUCAGUAAAUGAUAUUGAACAUUAUUGAGAUACUGUUGAAGCUCUAAUUAUACCUCUCUUUCCAUGAUUGUCUUUGCCCCCUUUUGGAAAAUUAGUCAGGGUACAACUAUAUUGCAUAACAUGGAAAAUAGAAAAACAUAUGAACUGUGGGAUGGGAAAGGAAAAGUGAACGACAACAGACAAAACAUUUGCAAGACAUCCUUAGGCAAAAUAUUGAAAGCUGAGUCAGAAUCACCAAGAUCUCUGAACAACAUUCCUCUGUUAGGAAGAGAAAGCAGAUAUUUCCAUGAGAAUGUGAGGGGGAUGAGGAGAGUGGAGUAUGCUGCUGUGAUCAAUUAUCCAAACACAACCUGGUUAAAUCCAACUCUCUGUGGCUCCUGCAUCCACACAGCUGCAUGUUAUGCAGCACACAAUGAGGCUGACUGCUUCCACUUGCACUCAUGACCACUGUCCUCCAAUGUCCUUAGUACUGUGCUGCAAUGAUGUUAUAUAUCCCCAAUCCAUGCUCUCCUAGUUGAUACUUCGUACUUUUUCAACCUCUUUGCAAACCUCCAACACCUCUUUUACCAUAAUCACUGUUAGCUAAUGACCUUGAUACCUAUUUGACUGUCAGAAUGGAAGUCUUUAGGAAGAACUUCCAUAAACUCUCCCACCUCAUCUACUUAACUCCUACAUCUGUGUCCAUUCACUCUACCUUCUUUCCUGCUAUGAAGAAUUAGCUUGAACUGUUCAUACUGUUAGCUAAGACCAACCCCUCAUUGAUGCACUAUAAAGGCAUCCCUUUACACCCACUAAAGCAUGACUCUAGCAAUUCUCAACAUUCUCUUCGACCAGAAUCAUUCUCUUUUGGAUCAUUCCCGUCAGCCUAAUGUCAUUUCUCUCACCUUAAAAAAAAAAAAAAGAAAAGUUUUACUGUGCCAAUUUCAUUUCAUUUUGCUUCUUCCCUUCAAUACAAAAGCCUUGAAUUCUCUGUAGUGACAGGCUCUACUUUCUCUACUCAAGAGAGCGCUCAUUCUCUAUCUUAAUCCAUUAGGCUUUCACCACCACUGUUUUGCAAAACUGCUCUUACCAAGACCAUCAGUGCAAUUUGUAUUAGUAAAUCUAAUAGCUCUCAAACCUCAUCUUCCUUGAACUGUAUGGAAUUUGACAGUCAGAUACAUUCUCCUCCUUAAAAUGCUUUCUUUACAGUUGACCUUCCAUAUCCACGGGUUCUACAUCUAAUACAUCUGGGAUUCAAUGAAGCCCAGAUCAGAAAUAUUUAAAAAAUAGGCUAGGUGUGGUGGCCCACGCCUGUAAUCCCAGCACUUUG